AUUGAACGCUGGCGGCAGGCCUAACACAUGCAAGUCGAACGAGUGGCGGACGGGUGAGUAAUGUCUGGUAAACUGCCUGAUGGAGGGGGAUACCUACUGGAAACGGUAGCUCAUACCGCAUACCAUCGGAUGUGCCCAGCUGGGAUUAGCUAGUUGGUGGGGUAAAGGCUCACCUAGGCGACGAUCCCUAGCUGGUCUGAGAGGAUGACCAGCCACACUGGAACUGAGACACGGUCCAUACUCCUACGGGAGGCAGCAGUGGGGAAUAUUGCACAAUGGGCGCAAGCCUGAUGCAGCCAUGCCGCUUGUAUGAAGAAGGCCUUCGGGUUGUAAGGUACUUUCAGCGGGGAGGCGUUACCCGCAGAAGAAGCACCGGCUAACGCCGUGCCAGCAGCCGCGGUAAUAC
rnacentral:rRNA from 1 species